AUGGCUCAGGACGAACGCUGGCGGCGUGCCUAACACAUGCAAGUCGAGCGGGGACAUGCGACGGAAGAGAAGUUUCGGAUGGAUCUGAAGAUGUAUGUUCUAGCGGCGGACGGGUGAGUAACGCGUGAGCAACCUGUCCUUCACAGGGGGAUAACACAGCGAAAGUUGUACUAAUACCGCAUAAGACCACGGAGAGACAUCUCUCAGGGGUCAAAGGAGCAAUCCGGUGAAGGGUGGGCUCGCGUCCGAUUAGAUAGUUGGUGAGGUAACGGCCCACCAAGUCGACGAUCGGUAGCCGACCUGAGAGGGUGAUCGGCCACAUUGGGACUGAGACACGGCCCAAACUCCUACGGGAGGCAGCAGUGGGGAAUAUUGGGCAAUGGGGGAAACCCUGACCCAGCAACGCCGCGUGAGGGAAGAAGGUUUUCGGAUCGUAAACCUCUGUCCCAGGUGAAGAGCAAGAGACGGUAACCUGGGAGGAAGCCCCGGCUAACUACGUGCCAGCCGCGGC
rnacentral:rRNA from 1 species